rnacentral:rRNA from 1 species
UACGAAGGGGGCUAGCGUUGCUCGGAAUCACUGGGCGUAAAGCGCGCGUAGGCGGUGAUCUUUGUCAGAGGUGAAAGCCCGGGGCUCAACUCCGGAAUUGCCUUUGAAACGGGAUUGCUAGAGUCCGAGAGAGGAUGGCGGAAUUCCUAGUGUAGAGGUGAAAUUCGUAGAUAUUAGGAAGAACACCGGUGGCGAAGGCGGCCAUCUGGCUCGGUACUGACGCUCAGGCGCGAAAGCGUGGGGAGCAAACAGG